AGUGUGAUAGCUGGAUCAUAUGGUAAGUAAUAUUUUUAGAUUUGUUUGAUUAUACCAAACUGUUUUCCAAAGUAGCUGUAGCAUUUUGCAUUCCAACCAGCAAU
rnacentral:pre_miRNA from 1 species